rnacentral:rRNA from 1 species
UCCAGACUCCUACGGGAGGCAGCAGUGGGGGAUAUUGCACAAUGGGGGCAACCCUGAUGCAGCGACGCCGCGUGAGCGAUGGAGUACUUCGGUAUGUAAAGCUCUGUCAGCAGGGAAGAGAAUGACGGUACCUGACCAAGAAGCCCCGGCUAAAUACGUGCCAGCAGCCGCGGUAAUACGUAUGGGGCAAGCGUUAUCCGGAUUUAUUGGGUUUAAAGGGUGCGCAGGCGGCACGGCAAGCCGGCGGUCAAAUCGCGGGGCUCAACCCCGCCCAGCCGUCGGAACUGCCGGGCUAGAGUGGGCGAGAAGUGCGCGGAAUGCGUGGUGUAGCGGUGAAAUGCAUAGAUAUCACGCAGAACUCCGAUUGCGAAGGCAGCAUACCGGCGCCCAACUGACGCUCAGGCACGAAAGCGUGGGCAUCGAACAGGAUUAGAUACCCUCGUAC